rnacentral:tRNA from 1 species
UCCUGGGUAGCUCAGUCGGUAGAGCAGGUGACUGUUAAUCACCCUGUCGGGGGUUCGAGUCCCUCCCCAGGAGCCA